UACGGAAGGGGCAAGCGUUGUUCGGAAUCAUUGGGCGUAAAGGGCGCGUAGGUGGUUCUGUAUGUCUACCGUGAAAGCGUACGGCUCAACCGUAUUUUGUCGGUGGAAACUGCAGGACUUGAGGCUGGGAGGGGCUGGUGGAAUUCCCUGUGUAGCGGUGAAAUGCGUAGAUAUAGGAAGGAACACCAGUGGCGAAGGCGACUUACUGGACGAUUGUUGACGCUGAGGUGCGAAAGCGUGGGGAGCAAACAGG
rnacentral:rRNA from 1 species